UGGGGGAUAUUGGUCAAUGGGGGAAACCCUGAACCAGCGACGCCGCGUGAGGGAAGACGGUCUUCGGAUUGUAAACCUCUGUCUUCGGGGAAGAAUAAUGACGGUACCCGAGGAGGAAGCCACGGCUAACUACGUGCCAGCAGCCGCGGUAAUACGUAGGUGGCGAGCGUUGUCCGGAAUUACUGGGUGUAAAGGGAGCGUAGGCGGUAAAGUAAGUCCAGUGUUAAAACUAUCGGCUCAACCGGUAGUCGCGCUGGAAACUAUUUUACUUGAGUGAAGUAGAGGUAGGCGGAAUUCCUAGUGUAGCGGUGGAAUGCGUAGAUAUUAGGAGGAACACCAGUGGCGAAGGCGGCCUACUGGGCUUUAACUGACGCUGAAGCUCGAAAGCGUGGGGAGCAAACA
rnacentral:rRNA from 1 species